CCGCGGAGCCGAAUGGGCGCCCAGCGCGUCUGUGGUGCCCCCCCAGGGCUCCUCCCCCAGGCACCAGCGCGGCCGUAAGCUCGAAAAGAUCGCGUCUGGGGGAGUAAAAGUGAUUUUUCACACCUCGGCUCCAACCGCUAUUGAAACGUGUCCGAGAUGCUAACGUCUUCUCGCGAAGAAAUUGAACGUGUUAAGAAAACAGGCAGAUUUGCCUCCAGAUUUCCUCACUGGAGAAUCACACUUCUGGGAUCUUCAGAGAAAGGCACGUGACAUUUGUGCUCCUGUGCUACUUCUGAGUCAACCUCUUCCACUUCCCAAUGAACAAUUCAGUGCUAAUCCUAAGAUUUGGUGUGCUUACGCAUCUGAAGGUUCUUUUUUUAACCUGGAGACAGUGCACGCAAUGGCACAUCUGAGUGGUUUUGGUCCCCAGCAUCUUACUGUGGUGUUGGCUUCAGCUCUUCAUUCUGUUAUUCAGAGAAGGAAAAAAAAAAAAAGGAACCUAAGCAAAGUACAUUGCUUGCAACACCUAUUUUUCCAUUUUGUAGUCUCUGAGUAUGCACUGGAAGAAACUCUCCCUUCUUUGGGCUGAAUGGAAUAUGAAUUUGCCCCUCUUGCUGGAAUUAUUGAUUCUCCAAGAACAAGACAAGGAUACAAAGAGCAGUGUAGGAAUACCUCAGGAUUCUUUGGAGUUGCUUUGUGUAUUACUCAGUGCCAAAGUUACACUGGACACAGCAGAGGUGAAUGGGAGGUGCUGCUCUGUGAUCCCAGAAGUUAAGCAGGGCUGUACAACGCACAUCCAUCCAGCACACACCAUAAAAGCACUUCUGCUAUGACUUGCUAGUAGCAGGUGUCAACCACGUACAAAGAGAGUAAAUUACAUCCAGAAUAACUGAAAUUCUGACAGCCACGAUUUCCCAUUUAUUACCCCAUCUCAUGGAAAGUUCUGCUUUUGGAAGAAAAUCAGAACGUUAACAAGUGUGCAAAAAUACAUCCUCAGCUGCAGGAAAUUCCAGGUCCCAGGCUUUUUUAUUUUGAAAGAAACAUUGGAAUGAUGUCUUCAAAUACCACUUUCUGAUCUGUGUGCAGGAGAAAAGCCGCAUGCCAGAGGCAGCAGUGAAUACUGAGGCUUUGCCAGCUCCAUAUCACGCAGGUGAACAAAUCUCUAAAGCAUGUUCUUGUGUACAGAGUGCUGGCAGACCCUGGGUGGCUCUACAUGCCCUGAUCUGUUUGGCUCUAACACACAACGAUCCAAAAAAGUCCCGAUGCUGAGAAUGGUGCUCCUAAUCCUCGCUGCCAGGCACCUUACCCACUGCUUCUCCCUUUGUGCAAACAGCAGAGCGUUUGCAAAAUGACCGACGUGUCUGCUGUGGAGACUUGACAGGUUAGACAGCAAUUGUGCAGCAACAGUAAUUAGAGGCCUACUUGUAAAAUACGUACGUGCAGCUUUAAGGAUGUUAGAAGGAACGUCUGUGAAUUAAGCUAUCGCGACCAGAAAUAAGGAAAAACAACGCAGGGCUGAUUUCACUGGUAACAAUUACCUAUGAAAAGGAUAGGAAGGGAAAAUGGGAGCACCUUCCGGGCAGAGUUGCCCAAAGAUAGGAGUAAUGACGGAUGCAGCACUCUGCAGCCUACUGAUCAUUCCCUAUUGUUCUCAGAUUGGUACAAACACAAAGCAAGGCCAAGCUGGUUUGUCAUCAGUGUUAUUAUAUCCUGUGUCAAAAAGGCACCUUUUCCAUUGAGAUUCUUCUGUUCUGCAUCCAGUUGGGUUAUUUAGCUGCAAGAACAGGGGACAAAUCCUUAAGGAAAGAGCGUUUUUCUUAUUCAUUUAUAUAUGCUAAUUGAAUUAAAUACAUUUUUUAAGCUGAUUUACUGCGACGAUUUUCUUUCUAUAUUAACAUUAAAUUGAAAUGACAACUCCAAGACCAACAACAGAAUUAGAAGUGAAGACAAAAAUUCAACUUGGAACAUUAGAGACAUCCAGAGACAUGAACAAGAAUUUUGCUGGAUUUCCAGCAGAAAUAAGGAAUAACAAGGGAAAAUUCAUCCAUACAUGUUAUUGUGGAACAUCCAAGACAUCCAGAGACAUGAACAAGGAUUUCACUGCAAUUCCAGGAGCACAAUUUGAUUUUCUGUCAUAUUUAAGAGGCAUAGCUCAAGAGUUUUAGUAUGUCCACAUCCCAUCAUUGGUUGGUAUGUUCAAAAUAGGCCUUCAGUACCAGUAUUUGGAAUGUUACUAGCUCCAAAAAAAACCCCUUUUAACGUAUUCACUAUUAAAACUGCUUCAUCACCUUUUAGAAAGGAAAACUCUCACUCUCUGCCCUUGUAUGUCCUUUGCUGAAAGAUUCAAAUCAAUAAGGUAGGAAACCAUACUUACAUGUCCUAAUCUCUCUUCCUCUUUCUUGCAAGCUAAAUGCAGAGCCUGUUUGGCAUGAGAGCACACACAAGCAGGAAUGCGGGCUGGUGGUGAUGUUGCCAGAUCUGUGUGUUGCUUGCAACAGCUCACGGGUGGAUUUCUGGAUCGCAGCGUUUGUUUCUCAAAAGACAAUUUCAGAUAUUUAGAAUCACACUCAAUAAACAUUUGGAAUGUGGUACAUUUACUACCUGAAGAUAAUUUUUCUUACAGAAAUGAGAAGUCUAACAUUCUAUCAGCCCUAUGGCCAAGCUAAAUACCUAGGCUGGAGUCUUCUUAUAAUGGCAUUUUAUUACAUCUCAUUAGAAACCCCAAGCCUUUCUGUAUGAACUACUGGAAUCAUAUUUACAACUGAUGGGAUUUUGAAAAACACAGACUUUAAAAAUUUUGUCGGAUAAAAGAAUUCCUGCUAUGUUUUCUCCUUCCGUAAGGAGACAGAGCCAAUGUAUCAAAGCUAUGGGGAGGGGAAAAAGGAGAAGAAGAAUGAUGGCAAAUACAUUUUCUCCAACACCUGUUGGACAAAAAUAAUACGUUUUCAGAAAACAGAUUUGCUUCAUGGCAGGGACCAUUUAUGUCACGUGAUGUUAACACCAGUCAGGUUGGAGCUAUUUCAUUUCAAUGCACUUUGGUAAAAAACACAUCUCAUGGAUAAUAAGAACUUUAUUGGAACGUUGUAAUUCCCAGCUCACUUUCAGGUGUCCUCAGAGUUUAUAUCUGUGUGAGACCGUGAAUGGUAAAGAGGAUAAACUGCUAUCAAAUGACACAUCUCUUGGGUUGUCCUUAGUGGCUACAAUCCAUCCUUUUGCAGAUGUGAAAGGUUAGCUAGAAUUCAAACCAGUUAAAGUAAACCCAGCUCUUGUGGAGGUUACAACCACCUGCCCAGAGGAUGUACAAUAAUUAUCAUUUCUGAAUUAAGUUUUACUUAUCCAGGCCAGGGUGACUUUACUCUCAUCAUGCGAGUGCAAUUGGGGACUUCUGGGCUCCAGGUCUCUUUCUAGAAGGGGAAAGUCUCCUACAGCAACUACAAUUUCUCCUUCACAUCCCCUGCCCAAGAAAGCUUUUAGCAGCAAAUAUGAUACAGUGCUAAUGUCUAUAUACUCUAUGCUCCUUCUAUUUACAGAGUAGUUUUACAUUUUAUUAUAUCCCAUUGUACAACUUUACAUAGUACCACUAUCAUUUCAAUUCCUUGUUCUGCAAUUCAAGGCAUACUUGGUUAACUGCCUUUCUGUGUCCAGUCAUAGAUUUAGCUUUAAAAAAAAAAAAGGUAGAAAAGAAGCACAGUGGUGCAAUGUCCAGGCAC